CUUACCGAAUAGUAGUCACGACAGCAGUCGUAGAAGCCAGGUAUUAUAACUGCGGAAUCGCUGUAACGUUGAGUAAGUGGAUUACAGCUCGCUAACCUGGUCGUCGCCUGACCCUGUCUAUUAAACGAGCAGCGAUUCACUGGGAGCGAACAACUGCCCGACAAACCGGCGGCCACAAGCAACGGUCGAAGCGUAACAAGGGCCCUCGAAGUAGCGCUACGUAAACGUCAGAAGAGGCCGCCGCCAGCAAGCGCAGUAGCAUUACUGUGGUGCCCUCCUGCUAAUCGUGCGCCCGCGCUCGUCAAGUCUAUCCGCCCGUUUGCCCGAUUUACGGUGACGAUACAAAUAGCCACAAACCUGUGAACGACCGACCGACCGACCGACUGAUCGCAGUGGAAGCCAAUCACCUCAUCUCUCAUAGUACCAUUAUAGUCUCACUAGUAUCGCUCGAAUCGUUGACAGGGACACCUUGAAAAGAAGGGCAAUAGCUACAACAUUCGACGUCGUUUGCGUUAAACAUACAUACGUUGAAGGGACACACGAAAUCAUUGGCAUACAAACCUCUCCCUGAGAGGCUUCGAGAGGACACAUUUACCGAUUGUGUUGUGUCUUUGGAAUAGACAAGACGUCUACGCCAUCGAGCCGGCCACUAAGCAAGAGCCCGCUUGAGCACUGCAAUUAGCUCAGACUGACCUCUCAAUCCUCUACCUUCAGCGCGACAAUUGCUACCACUGCGAGCGCAACGAAUCUACUGGGUUGACAGACAUUUUCCAUAGCUACGGUUUCAUCUCUUUUUUUCGAUCUGCGUACCCGCCGUUGGCUCUACCAAUUUUGUUUUGCGUGUUCCUAUGAUAUAUCCCACAGGCCUUAGCUAACCAUUAUCGUUGCCAGGACUAUCCUCCUUUGUCACAUCUCCUGUAAUUCACUCUAGCCUGUGCCGGCGAAUCGUACGUUGCUAUUGAGAAGCAAAACAAAAUUAAGCCGAUUCUUGCACACCUUUACCUUUCAGAAUGUGUCACUUUGCAAAAGCUUGUAUGUUCUUUCUCAUUGCGUUAGUUGCGUCGGCAUGGGCCUUCCAGUGCUAUGUGUGCAACUCGAAAAACGAUACGGGUUGUGAUUCACCCCCACGGGAGGAGUACCUGAAAACAUGCGAAGAUCUCCAUUACUCCAAUCAUGGAUCGCAGGCAUUCACUGUGUGCCGACUACAGGUUAUCAAUAGCGAAAAUAAAGGAGUAAUAUACGAUCGACGAUGUGGUUGGAUCAAACACAACGAGAACAGGGAGACUUGUACUCUUACCGCGGAUCCCCUUCUCAAGGCGACCAAUUGUGAGUGCCACACGGAUCGUUGCAAUGGCUCUUUGACAACAGCUGGUUAUAGUUCGAUCGUUUUUGUCGUUGCGUGUCUCUUCGUUGCCUUUCUACAGCGUCAAUAGUAACAAUAGUCACGCCUCAGCAGCUACUAUCACCACAACGCCAUGACGAGCAACAGUUUACCUUAUGAACGACGAUAAAUCUCAGAUUCCACUAUCAUUGCCAUAUAUAUACAUAUAUAUGACAAACAAUUUUGAUCAACAAAAUAAAACACGAUUAUACAUAUAAUUUUUCAACUUACCUAUAACAUGAACUUAUCCGGAAAAGUUUGAAUGGAAAUCGCUCAUGACUGUUCUUGCGUUCGUUCCAAAAAUGGUUUUACUUCCGAAAAAAAAAUUGCGACUUCUCUCCGAUUAA